AUUGAACGCUGGCGGCAUGCCUUACACAUGCAAGUCGAACGGCAGCGGGGGAGAAGCUUGCUUUUCCUGUCGGCGAGUGGCGAACGGGUGAGUAAUACAUCGGAACGUGCCCUGUAGUGGGGGAUAACUAGUCGAAAGAUUAGCUAAUACCGCAUACGACCUGAGGGUGAAAGUGGGGGACCGCAAGGCCUCAUGCUCUAGGAGCGGCCGAUGUCUGAUUAGCUAGUUGGUGGGGGAAAGGCCUACCAAGGCGACGAUAAGUAGCUGGUCUGAGAGGACGAUCAGCCACACUGGGACUGAGACACGGCCCAGACUCCUACGGGAGGCAGCAGUGGGGAAUUUUGGACAAUGGGCGAAAGCCUGAUCCAGCAAUGCCGCGUGUGUGAAGAAGGCCUUCGGGUUGUAAAGCACUUUUGUCCGGAAAGAAAUGGCUCUGGUUAAUACCUGGGGUCGAUGACGGUACCGGAAGAAUAAGGACCGGCUAACUACGUGCCAGCCGCCGCGGUAA
rnacentral:rRNA from 1 species